rnacentral:rRNA from 1 species
CUCAGUUCGGAUUGUAGGCUGAAACUCGCCUACAUGAAGCUGGAGUUACUAGUAAUCGCAGAUCAGAAUGCUGCGGUGAAUGCGUUCCCGGGUCUUGUACACACCGCCCGUCACACCAUGAGAGUUGGCAACACCCGAAGUCGGUAGUCUAACCGCAAGGAGGACGCCGCCGAAGGUGGGGUUGAUGAUUAGGGUUAAGUCGUAACAAGGUACC